rnacentral:rRNA from 1 species
UACGUAGGGGGCAAGCGUUGUCCGGAUUUAUUGGGCGUAAAGAGCGUGUAGGCGGCCAGGUAGGUCAGCUGUGAAAACUCGAGGCUUAACCUCGAGAUGUCGGCUGAAACCAUCUGGCUAGAGUCCGGAAGAGGAGAGUGGAAUUCCUGGUGUAGCGGUGAAAUGCGCAGAUAUCAGGAAGAACACCCGUGGCGAAGGCGGCUCUCUGGUACGUGACUGACGCUGAGACGCGAAAGCGUGGGGAGCGAACAGG